UACGUAGGUGGCAAGCGUUGUCCGGAAUUAUUGGGCGUAAAGCGCGCGCAGGCGGUUCUUUAAGUCUGAUGUGAAAGCCCACGGCUCAACCGUGGAGGGUCAUUGGAAACUGGAGAACUUGAGUACAGAAGAGGAAAGCGGAAUUCCACGUGUAGCGGUGAAAUGCGUAGAGAUGUGGAGGAACACCAGUGGCGAAGGCGGCUUACUGGUCCGGUUCUGACGCUGAGGCGCGAAAGCGUGGGGAGCAAACAGG
rnacentral:rRNA from 1 species